rnacentral:lncRNA from 1 species
UUCUGCAAAAACACAAAGAGAUAGGAAAAAUAAUCAGAUUUUGCAAUUCUUGAAAAUAAAGUGAAAACAGAGCAACUCUGUUUUUGAGUGUAUACCAAGAAAGAAUUGCAUUUUCCGCCGAAUCCACGGUAAGGAUAAUCUUUCUCAGUGUUUAAGCCACCAUUUUUCAUGAUGAAUUGAAAAGCGUAGUCCAUUAAACCGCCGUUGCAACCUUGAUUGUAGGAUUUGUCGCAGUCAACAAGUUCUUGUUCUGAUAGAGAUAUGAGUUCUCCUGUUACGAUCUUGUUUAUACCUUCUACUGCUGCAGUAGUCGAAAACGCCCAACAACUUCCUGUGUUGAUCAAUACACAAACACAAAUAUUAACAUCAAUACACAUGCUGCAUGUGUUACAUGUUAAGUUACACAAAAUAUAACACAAAAGUUUGUUCUGUUACGAACCAUGUGUAAAUAUUAGACGUUCGUUAAUAAUAUCAGUUUGAUUAUAAAGGAAAAAGCAUAAUUGGUAAUUACCGC